AUUGAACGCUGGCGGCAUGCUUUACACAUGCAAGUCGAACGGCAGCGCGGGCUUCGGCCUGGCGGCGAGUGGCGAACGGGUGAGUAAUACAUCGGAAUGUGCCCAGUAGUGGGGGAUAGCUCGGCGAAAGCCGGAUUAAUACCGCAUACGACCUGAGGGUGAAAGCGGGGGAUCUUCGGACCUCGCGCUAUUGGAGCGGCCGAUGGCAGAUUAGCUAGUUGGUGGGGUAAAGGCCUACCAAGGCGACGAUCUGUAGCUGGUCUGAGAGGAAGACCAGCCACACUGGGACUGAGACACGGCCCAGACUCCUACGGGAGGCAGCAGUGGGGAAUUUUGGACAAUGGGCGAAAGCCUGAUCCAGCAAUGCCGCGUGUGUGAUGAAGGCCUUCGGGUUGUAAAGCACUUUUGGCGGGAACGAAAAGGACUGUGCCAAUACCACGGUUCGAUGACGGUACCCGCAGAAUAAGCACCGGCUAACUACGUG
rnacentral:rRNA from 1 species